GACGUAGGGGGCCAGCGUUGUUCGGAAUUACUGGGCGUAAAGGGUUCGUAGGCGGUGUGGCAAGUCGGGAGUGAAAUCUCUGGGCUCAACCCAGAGACUGCUUCCGAAACUGCUGUGCUUGAGUGUGAGAGAGGCUCGUGGAAUUGCAGGUGUAGCGGUGAAAUGCGUAGAUAUCUGCAGGAACACCCGUGGCGAAAGCGGCGAGCUGGAUCACUACUGACGCUGAGGAGCGAAAGCUAGGGGAGCAAACAGG
rnacentral:rRNA from 1 species